CAAGUAAGCUGGACAGCCGCGCGGGCGGGGCGAAAGGCCUGUCUGUGAGGAAAGUCCGGGCUCCGCAGGGCAAGGAUAACGGGUAACACCCGCCGGGGGCGACCCUAGGAAAAGUGCAACAGAAAUAGACUGCCCCCGUUCCCUGUCGAGGGAAGGGGGGCGAUGGUGGAAAGGCGAGGUAAGAGCUCACCCGAUGGCUGGGAACAGUCCAUCGCUGUAAACUCUAUCCGGAGCAACGCCGUGGAGGGACAUGCAGCCGGCCCGGCUGUCCCGAGGAGGCGGCUGGAGCGUACCGGCAACGGUGCGUCGAGAUAGAUGGCUGUCUUAAAUGACAGAACCCGGCUUACAGGCUUACUUGCCCA
rnacentral:RNase_P_RNA from 1 species